GCCGGCAGCCAUACCACCUUCAGCUAAGCGCUCAUAAGCUGAACAGGGUUGGGCUAGGUCCCUGUUCUUAUGAGAGACCUUCAAAGAAACCCUGGAGGUGUCAGCA
ensembl:rRNA 5S_rRNA 5S ribosomal RNA